rnacentral:rRNA from 1 species
GACGAACGCUGGCGGCGUGCCUAAUACUUGCAAGUAGAACGCACAGUUUAUACCGUAGCUUGCUACACCAUAGACUGUGAGUUGCGAACGGGUGAGUAACGCGUAGGUAACCUGCCUGGUAGCGGGGGAUAACUAUUGGAGACGAUAGCUAAUACCGCAUCAUAUUAAUUAUUGCAUGAUAAUUAAUUGAAAGGUGCAAUUGCACCACUACCAGAUGGACCUGCGUUGUAUUAGCUAGUAGGUGAGGUAACGGCUCACCUAGGCGACGAUACAUAGCCGACCUGGGAGGGUGAUCGGCCACACUGGGAAUGGGACCCGGCCCCAACUCCUACGGGGGGCAGCAGGAGGGGAUCUUCGGCAAUGGACGGAAGUCUGAACGAGCAACGCCGCGUGAGUGAAGAAGGGUUUCGGAUCGUAAAGCUCUGUUGUGAGAGAAGAACGGGUGUGAGAGUGGAAAGUUCACACUGUGACGGUAUCUGAACAGAAAGGGACGGCUAACUACGUG